rnacentral:tRNA from 1 species
CGCCAUUAGCUCAACAGGAUAGAGCAGAGGAAUUCUAAUCCUCCGGUUCUGGGUUCGAGUCCUAGAUGGGCGCC